AAGACGGGAAAGGAAAUCCAGGCUGAUACCCAAGUUGCAAUAGCUGAACUUCAGAAUCGCCAAAAUUCUGGGGAAACAGCUGAUGAUGCAUUUAGGGCAGUGUUUGGAAAGGAGCAGCCUGGUCGACUUAGGUGCUAUGGUAGAUCAGUGA